rnacentral:rRNA from 1 species
GAGUUUGAUCCUGGCUCAGGACGAACGCUGGCGGCGUGCUUAACACAUGCAAGUCGAACGGAAAGGCCCUUCGGGGUACUCGAGUGGCGAACGGGUGAGUAACACGUGGGUGAUCUGCCCUGCACUUUGGGAUAAGCCUGGGAAACUGGGUCUAAUACCGAAUACACCUCGCUGGCUGCAUGGUUGGUGGGGGAAAGCUUUUGCGGUGUGGGAUGGGCCCGCGGCCUAUCAGCUUGUUGGUGAGGUUACGGCUCACCAAGGCGACGACGGGUAGCCGGCCUGAGAGGGUGUCCGGCCACACUGGGACUGAGAUACGGCCCAGACUCCUACGGGAGGCAGCAGUGGGGAAUAUUGCACAAUGGGCGCAAGCCUGAUGCAGCGACGCCGCGUGAGGGAUGACGGCCUUCGGGUUGUAAACCUCUUUCAGUAGGGACGAAGCGCAAGUGACGGUACCUACAGAAGAAGCACCGGCCAACUACGUGCCAGCAGCCGCGGUAAUACGUAGGGUGCGAGCGUUGUCCGGAAUUACUGGGCGUAAAGAGCUCGUAGGUGGUUUGUCGCGUUGUUCGUGAAAACCAGGGGGCUUAACCCUCGGCGUGCGGGCGAUACGGGCAGACUUGAGUACUGCAGGGGAGACUGGAAUUAUCCCGCGGCCAGGCGGCC